rnacentral:rRNA from 1 species
AUUGAACGCUGGCGGCAUGCCUUACACAUGCAAGUCGAACGGUAACGGGCCUUCGGGUGCCGCCGAGCGGCGAACGGGUGAGUAAUACAUCGGAACGUGCCCGAUCGUGGGGGAUAACGAGGCGAAAGCUUUGCUAAUACCGCAUACGAUCUACGGAUGAAAGCAGGGGACCGCAAGGCCUUGCGCGGACGGAGCGGCCGAUGGCAGAUUAGGUAGUUGGUGGGAUAAAAGCUUACCAAGCCGACGAUCUGUAGCUGGUCUGAGAGGAUGAUCAGCCACACUGGGACUGAGACACGGCCCAGACUCCUACGGGAGGCAGCAGUGGGGAAUUUUGGACAAUGGGCGCAAGCCUGAUCCAGCCAUGCCGCGUGCAGGAUGAAGGCCUUCGGGUUGUAAACUGCUUUUAUACGGAACGAAAAGCCUUCUUUUAAUACAGGAGGGUCAUGACGGUACCGUAAGAAUAAGCACCGGCUAACUACGUG